rnacentral:lncRNA from 1 species
GGUAAGAAAUUCACAACCAAAAGUUUUAAAUCUUCAAGACCCAAGUGUGUGUGCAAGAACCCUAGCUCCAAAACUUGUGUUUUCUAGUCAAGAAAUGUCAAAGAUGUGCAGAGAUUGGCCAAAGAUUGGCCAAAAGAUGAGCCAAAGAUAAUUUACAAUUGAGCUAGGUCGGGUAUUAAUGGGUUUGGGACCAAAAAAUAUGAAAUUACAGAAGUGCCCAAAACUGAAGCGCGAUACUCGCAUUUGCGAAGUGAGGAUCGCAAUUGCGAACAAUGGCAUUACUGUUGACCCUUGCAUUUGCGGUCUCAAAGUUUGCAUUUGCAAAUUUAAGCACUAUGCACUUGGUUUCACAUUUGCGAUGAAGUAAUUCUCAUUUGCGAAGGUUGACUUCGCAUUUGCGAUUCCUCCAUUGCAAUUGCGACUUCUGCUAUCUUUACUAACACUUCGCAUUUGCCAAGUUGAUGUCGCAAUUGCGACAUUUGAGGCUUUUGACUCUUUUUUACUUGGUUUCUUCAUGAUCACUUCUAAAUCACAUAGAACCUGUAAAAUAGAAGUAAACGACAUUAAACACAUAAUUUUAUCAAUCAAACAUAGCAAAAAUCUAAGCUUAAAGACGAAUCUUCAUGAUUGGCUUUCAUAACUAUGGCUGGAAGGUUCGCAUAGAAUUCCCUCAUCUAUUGCUCAUUCGCUCUGCAAGGUUGAGGGGCAAAACAGGUCCAUCCUAUGUCUACAAGCCUCUGAUGGAACUCGGGAAGAUGUUAUGGGACCUUUUCCAGCAAUAUACCACUUUUCAGGAGCAACUUCUUCGUAAUCAACUCGGCAUAGUAUCGUUCCUGGCAUUCCAAUGAUAAGAACCGGUGUUGGUCAUAGAUGUCCUCUACUUCCAAAGGGUUGUCAUGCGCGGAUUCGUCGGAGUUAGAGGUAAUUUUCAGCUUAUGGUACUUGUAAACAAAGUAUCAGAGUGAAAACGUAGUAUGGCUAUGAAAUAUAUUGCAAAAUGAGUCCAAUAUGCCAAAGAAAUGAUUGGACAGACAACCCAACCUUAGAAAAAAUUUCAAGAUUUUCAGUUCAGCAGAAGCCUGCUCUCUAAUGCCGCAAUUGCGAAGGCAGCAGGAAUCCACAGAGGUCGCAAUUGCGAAACAAUCAUCGCAAAUGCAAAAAUUGUUAGGUCUGAUAGUUUUCACAAUUACGGUAACCUUGUCACAAAUGCGAAAAGGCUAUCAAAAUUGCGAUGCCAUCGUCCCUAGGAGCUCUUCAAACCCAGAACAGUCCAGCCCCAAAAUUUUCUAACAAAAUCACAUUUUUAAAGAGUUCAAUUAGUUUUUAGGCACAAAAGCAUGCAAUAAACUUCACAUACAACCACUAAUUGAAGAAAUUUCAAUGAUUCGGCCAAGAAUCUCAUUCGGCCCUUUCAUCGAAUACAUAGUAAGCACACAAAAUCACUCCUAUUUUAACAAAGCCAUGGGUACUUAGACUUCCCCAUUUUUCAACUAAAGAGAAAUAAGCUCACACUCUCAACUAACCUCACCCAUAAAUCAACACAUGAUUUGACCAUUUUUUUCAAACAAUUUCGUACAAAAGAAAAUGACCCACUUUGAGCCCUAACUGUUGAGAGAUAAAGGAAAGAAGAAAAAGAUACUACAAGUCAUGAAGAACACAAAAAGUAAGCUUCCAUACCUUGAUACUUGCAAUUAAGAGUGAGAAACGGUGGAACUUGAGAGUUGGGAGAGUGAGUAAGAUACCGGUCGUUCAAUUUUAAAGCCUCAAAUUUUUUUGGGAACUUUUGUUAAAUGUUCAGCAAAACUCCGUUUUAGUGCCUCAGAGGUCACAAUUGUGACUGCGAGUUCGCAAUUACAAAUGAUGAAAAGUCAGCAGUGUUCGCAAUUGCGAUGGGCUAGUUGUUCGCAAAUGCGGACCGCUGUUCGCAAUUGCGAAAUUAGAGGCCUAGGCCUGAUUUUGUUUUCACUGCCCAAUCUCCCUACUUUAUAUC